rnacentral:rRNA from 2 species
UGCAGUCGAGCGGACUUGAUGGAGCUUGCUCCAUCAUGUUAGCGGCGGACGGGUGAGUAACACGUGGGCAACCUGCCUGUAAGACUGGGAUAACUCCGGGAAACCGGAGCUAAUACCGGAUAGUAUCUUGAACCGCAUGGUUCAAGUUGGAAAGACGGUUUCGGCUGUCACUUACAGAUGGGCCCGCGGCGCAUUAGCUAGUUGGUGAGGUAAUGGCUCACCAAGGCAACGAUGCGUAGCCGACCUGAGAGGGUGAUCGGCCACACUGGGACUGAGACACGGCCCAGACUCCUACGGGAGGCAGCAGUAGGGAAUCUUCCGCAAUGGACGAAAGUCUGACGGAGCAACGCCGCGUGAGUGAUGAAGGUUUUCGGAUCGUAAAACUCUGUUGUUAGGGAAGAACAAGUGCGAGAGUAACUGCUCGCACCUUGACGGUACCUAACCAGAAAGCCACGGCUAACUACGUGCCAGCAGCCGCGGUAAUACGUAGGUGGCAAGCGUUGUCCGGAAUUAUUGGGCGUAAAGCGCGCGCAGGCGGUUUCUUAAGUCUGAUGUGAAAGCCCCCGGCUCAACCGGGGAGGGUCAUUGGAAACUGGGAAACUUGAGUGCAGAAGAGGAGAGUGGAAUUCCACGUGUAGCGGUGAAAUGCGUAGAGAUGUGGAGGAACACCAGUGGCGAAGGCGACUCUCUGGUCUGUAACUGACGCUGAGGCGCGAAAGCGUGGGGAGCGAACAGGAUUAGAUACCCUGGUAGUCCACGCCGUAAACGAUGAGUGCUAAGUGUUAGAGGGUUUCCGCCCUUUAGUGCUGCAGCUAACGCAUUAAGCACUCCGCCUGGGGAGUACGGUCGCAAGACUGAAACUCAAAGGAAUUGACGGGGGCCCGCACAAGCGGUGGAGCAUGUGGUUUAAUUCGAAGCAACGCGAAGAACCUUACCAGGUCUUGACAUCCUUUGCCACUUCUAGAGAUAGAAGGUUCCCCUUCGGGGGACAAAGUGACAGGUGGUGCAUGGUUGUCGUCAGCUCGUGUCGUGAGAUGUUGGGUUAAGUCCCGCAACGAGCGCAACCCUUGAUCUUAGUUGCCAGCAUUCAGUUGGGCACUCUAAGGUGACUGCCGGUGACAAACC